UAUGAAGAACGUAGCGAAAUGCGAUAAGUAAUGUGAAUUGCAGAAUUCAGUGAAUCAUCGAAUCUUUGAACGCACAUUGCGCCCGUCAGUAUUCUGGCGGGCAUGCCUGUUCGAGCGUCAUUACGCCCCUCAAGUCCCCUGUGGACUUGGUGUUGGGGAUCGGCGAGGCUGGUUUUCCAGCACAGCCGUCCCUUAAAUUAAUUGGCGGUCUCGCCGUGGCCCUCCUCUGCGCAGUAGUAAAACACUCGCAACAGGAGCCCGGCGCGGUCCACUGCCGUAAAACCCCCCAACUUUUUAUAGUUGACCUCGAAUCAGGUAGGACUACCCGCUGAACUUAAGCAUAUCAAUAAGCGGAGGA
rnacentral:misc_RNA from 1 species